rnacentral:lncRNA from 1 species
CUUAAUCUAAGCGGGAGGAUCUCUCUAGGCGGUUGGUCGUCUCUCCGGGGAAACCGCUCCGAGGAGGAUUUUCCCUCCUUCCCGCGACCGCCUCCGCACUCGAGCGCACUUCGCUCCUCACGCGCGCGCGCGCUUUGCGCACGUUUGCGCCGAUCGCGCCGUAGCCAGACCCGCCGAUUUCCGACGCACACGUAUAUUAUACGCGAGAUGAGGCGGACGACUCAAGGAUUACGCGCGAGACGAGCAGACGAUGAUAACACACCGCACACUGGGGGGAGGGUAGAGGGGACGCGCGCGAGAGACGCGCAGCGCUUGAACCGACGCGUUUGAACCGACUGUCGCCGCCGGCUCGCCGGGACCAAGCCGUGGCCCCACGCCUGCCUCUGUCCCUGUAAGCGGAGCCUGCCGAGCGCGUACGAACGGACGCGCCGUCGUGUCCGUCCACCCACAACAAACGCGCUCCUCGUCAUCAGCCAGGUACGAUGACGAUGGGAGGGAGAGGGGAAGGAGAGAGAGAGAGAGAGAGAGAGAGAGAAUCUUACGCGCGAUUGAAAUCCGCGUUUAAACCGCGCGACUUAUCACGGAUCGAAUCACGCAGUGCGUGAGAUGCGUGCCACGCAUCCGGAGAUCUCGACGCGGAUAUGCUCGACCUCGAUCUAAACGUGCGAGUCGCAUUACGCGGGAAUAAUCAAGAAUUUACGAUUCGAGAUCUAAUUUGUCUUCUUUAUACUCGACUUGAAUUUUCAAUUAAAUUAUAAUUAUUGACAUCGCGCGAUAUCAAUGAGAUCUUACUGAUUUCAGCUAUUAAAUGUAAUUAAAUAUAACUUCUUUACCAUAUAACAGUCAUUGAUGAUAAUACGACAUUGAUAUACCGAUUAGAGAACUGCGCUCUAAAAUCAUUGAAAGACAAUGAAUAAUACACCAAUUCCGAUUUAGCGAGUGGUUCAUACAAAAAAUCGAAAUAAAAAAGGGCGAACAUCUCUCUACUUCUACAUACGAUUAAUGGCGGUAUUGCAUAACGUGUGAUUAAAGUCUAGGGAAGAUGGUGAUUGCACUAUUAUCGCGUUCAUAAUACAGCGUGACGACGCAGCUUCUAUAAUAAAUAGAUUUCGGCAGUGACAGCCUUGUUGUGUUUCUCACGCGGUUGCUUAAGUAGAGCAAGAAAAUGUCAGUCAGACAAAAAUAGAUGGAGUUAUAUGCCAGCGAACAAGGAAUCUAUGUUAAUCUGAUGGUCUUCGCGACGUAUUAUAUGUUGUCACCGUGUUAAAGUAUUUUGUGUCACUGAAGCUUGCGAUCUCGUUUAAUACAAAUAUUGUAUUAAACGAGAGAACUAAAUAACAUGAAAAGAAAACGCAGUACGCGCACCGGGAUAUUUUUCAAGAUGACAAUGCGUGACAGACUUUUUUAAUCCUCUCCGUUGAUUCGAGAGGAGCGAUUUAUUACAGUAACAAUAAGAAGUAAAUUAAUAACGUUUUUUUAUCUGACUUUGUACAGUAUUGUAUUGAGAUAUUUGCAUUCCGUAAAUUUGAUAUAAACACUUUGUGUUGUGUGAAAUUAAGUUAAAUAACAAUGUUGCGUGCAUUCGAGUCGCUUUUCUUUUCCUCGAUGUUCGUCGA